ensembl:lncRNA
AAUGUAGCCUCCAUAAGCCCAGCACAUCAUGUAGCUAUGUUUCUAUGGCCUGCAUUCUCUUCUUUGCUCUCUCUCUCUCUCUCUCACUUUCCAUUUCUCUCUGUCCUCUCACUCAUUCUGUUUUUGAAGGAUAGUGUUAAUGAUGUCUGGCAUGUGUGAGGCAGUGUGCAGAGUGAGCAAGAGAGAGAUAGAGAACGGAAGAGAAAGAGAGAGAGAAAGAACGGGGAGAGAGAGGCAGAGGGGGAAAGUGAGAGAGACCGUAUGAGACUCAGAGUGGAAUACAUGCAAGAGGAAAAUCUGGAAGAAACUGAGGAUUUGUUGACAGGAAUUGGACUGAAAUGAAACACUGAAAAGGUGGAAAAGCAAGAGGCGAACGACUUUCUCACCCCUCCCCCCUCCCUCCCCUCCUCCUACUCCUCCUCCCCAUCUCCCCUCUGUCUCUGUCUCUAUCUGUCUCUUCGGCUGAUACAGCGGGGAAGUGGGCCUCUUGCUUUAAAUGAUUACAGCUGUGUAGGAAAAUUAUUGGUUGAUAUUUCUAUACAGGUUUUUUUUUUUUUCUUUCCUGCCGUUAAACACAGGUUCAUGAAGACAGGAGCGGGAGACCUGGGAUUCAAGGUUUUCUUUUUUCCUUCCUUUACAUUUUGUAGGUGUUUCGGCUCCGUACAGAGAGAAUGGGGGGGUGAAUGAAAAUGUAUCAAUGUUAGCGAGGAGAGAACUGCAGCAACAUGCGUCGGUGCAUUUUGUCUUUUCAAUUGAUUGGAUUUUUCGGGGGGGCUCGUCGCAUGUACGACCAUAAACGGUAUUUUUCUUCUUUUUCUAAGCUGGAUAUGAAUGAGGGAAAUACAAUCGAGUAAAAGCGACAUAGGUUAACAGCAGCGAAACAAAGUGACUGAGAGUGUGUGUGUGUGUGUGUGUGUGUGUGUGUCUGUGUGCACGUGCGCAUGCAUAUGAUUUCCCCCUCUCUCCCUCUCUCUCAGCGAGCCAGUAGACUGGUAUGCUUUGCUGGUGCUCUGGCCCUGGCAGCAAGUCGGGCUCUCUCUCAUCCUCUCGUCUACCUUUCUAUCCACUCUCCUUUUUUCAUACCUUUGUUCUUAAUAUCAUCAAUGUCUUUUUUUUUCUCCAUUCAAAUUCCUUUGGCUUAAGUCCCCCGGAGAAGCCUCUUGUUUUUUCAGCCUCAUUUCCCUUUCUAACCCUGUCGGUUUCUGUCUGCACAUGGUUUCCCACCAUCAGUCGUCUCGCCUCCUUUUCUUAUGUACGUCUGCCGGUUCGCUUCGUCUCCCGGUCAUCUGCAAACCCGGGCGCUACCCCAUCUCGCCACUGUAUCUCUCUAACCCUUUGUAACCAUCCAUAAAGCUUUCAGAGAACUUGCCUGAAAACCUUAUCGAUCCGAGUUUAAACCUGAGCUUGCUUCUAUCUUUCUCUUCUCUGUGUGUUGAGCAGGCAGCAAAAUGGAAAUAUGGGACAAGAGCAGCUGCAUUCUCAUUUCCAACCAAACCUGGGACAAUGCUCCAUGCCGCACAGCCAGGUCAAUCAAGAUGUGGAUGGAGGACCACAAGAUCAAGACCCUGUCAUGGCCAGUCCAAUCUCCAGUCCUGAACCCCACUGAAUUUUGUGCCAGGAGUGGCAUAAAGUCGCCCCACAGCAAUGUGACAGACUGCUGGAGAGCAUGCGCAAGACACAUGAAAGCUGUGAUUAAAAAAUGUGGUUAUUCCACCAAAUGUUUUGUUGUUGAAAAAUGAAUAUGAAUUUGUUUUCUUUGCAUUAUUGAGGUCUGAAAACAAUGAUUGUUUUUUUGUUCUGUUAUUUUGACCAGUUAUUUUCUACAAAUAAAUACUCUAAAUUACAACAUUUUUAUUUGGGAGUAAUGUUGUCAGUAGUUUAUAGAAUAAACAUUUUACUCACAUUCCUAUGAAUAGUAAAACCGGAGAAACAGAUGAUUUUGCAGUGGUCUCUUAAUUAUUUUCCAGAGCUGUGUGUGUGUGUGUGUGUGUGUGUGUGUGUGUGUGUGUGUAUAUAUAUACACACAG